AGAGUUAAAUAGUACGUGAAAUUGCUAAAAGGGAAACGAUUGAAAUCAGUGUUGGCCGUAGGAAAUCAGCUAGUCAGCAAUGGCUGGUGCACUUUCCUGCGGCCAGGUCAACGUCGGCUCUGGGCAGCGUAAAUCAGUGCGGGAAGGUGGCUCCCUCGGGAGUGUUAUAGCCUGCACGAGUGCGCUGCGCGGGGCCGAGGCUCGCAGUGCAUGCCUUUGGCUGGCGAACCAGGCUCUACUUGGUACUCGGUAUUGGACAGCAUGCUGACCAGUGCCGCGUGCCAGGUAAUAGUCUGGCUAGUACAAAUGCACUCAGGACGUUGACGAAAUGGUUUUAAACGACC
rnacentral:ncRNA from 2 species